rnacentral:rRNA from 1 species
AGAGUUUGAUCCUGGCUCAGAAAACGUGAAGGGCGUGCCUAACACAUGCAAGUCGGACGAGAAAACCUUAAGAAAGGCGGGGUGAGUAAAGUGGCGCACGGGUGAGUAGCACGUGGAUAAUCUGCCCUUUAGUGGGGAAUAACCUACCGAAAGGUGGGCUAAUACCGCAUAAUGUUGCUUGGGUUUGGGUCAAGUAGCCAAAGAGAGUCUCUGCUUGCAAGCUUUCGCUAAAGGAUGAGUCCGCGCACCAUUAGCUAGUUGGUAGGGUAAUGGCCUACCAAGGCAACGAUGGUUAGCUGGUCUGAGAGGAUGAUCAGCCACACUGGAACUGAGACACGGUCCAGACUCCUACCCCAGGCAGCAGUGAGUAAUAUUGCGCAAUGGGGGAAACCCUGACGCAGCAACGCCGCGUGAGUGACCAAGGUUUUCGGAUCGUAAAGCUCUGUUUUUUCCCAAGAAACAUGCAAAAGUUAAUAGCUUUUGUAUUUGACGGUACCAUCAGAGGAAGCACCGGCCAACUCCGUGCCAGCAGCCGCGGUAAUACGGGGGGUGCAAGCGUUGUUCGGAAUUAUUCCCCGUAAAGAGCGUGUAGGCGGUUGGAUAAGUCAGAUGUGAAAGCCCUCCUCUCAACCCACCCAGUGCAUUUGAAACUGUUCGACUUGAGUAAGGAGAGGAA